rnacentral:sRNA from 1 species
UAGCGCGACGAGAAUCAUAUUGUACAGCU